CAGUCGCCGCGGUAAUACGAGGGGUGCAAGCGUUAUUCGGAUUGAUUGGGUGUAAAGGGUGUGCAGACGGCUUAUUAAGUCACUUGUUAAAUUCUUCGGCCUAACUGAAGGUCUGCAAGUGAUACUGAUGAGCUAGAGGGUGGAAGAGAGAAGUGGAAUUCCCGGAGUAGCGGUAAAAUGCGUAGGUCUCGAGAGGAACACCAAUGGCGAAGGCAGCUUCUUGGUCCAUUCCUGACGUUCAUACACGAAAGCGUGGGGAGCAAACAGGAUUAGAUACCCCCGUAGUCCCUGUCUCUUAUAC
rnacentral:rRNA from 1 species